rnacentral:tRNA from 1 species
GGGCGGUGCAGUAACGAGAAAAAAUCGAGUGGCUAAGCAUGUAGAACCAGGAUCUGAUGGUUUGCGGACGCGGGUUCGACUCCCGCCGCCUCCACCA